GCUCGUUUAAUCAUAGACGUCACCGCGGAUAACAGCAGCGGCUAAAUCCUUAACAUGUCGAGACGCCUGGAGACAAGCAGACGGUCCGGAGGAACCGCAUCAUUUGUCAACGGAAAUGAUGUUGAACGGGACGUCAGAAACUGUGGGAGACCUUGCACUGAUUUUUAAUUCACCGCUAAAUACUGCAUCCCAUCAUUUCUAUAUUGUGAACGACUUUCCCUGUCGCUCGGGUUCCAUGGACCACUCAGGAAGGACAUGAUCGCUUGAACAGUGUCACGGCGUGAGCUUGCCGUUGUUGGUGUGACCCCAGGAUGCAGAGACGAGAGGCGGCGUGCAUUUGGAUUAUUUUAAUGAUGAAAAAGGAAGCAAAUAUCCACAGGUGAAGCUUUACUCUGGAUCAGAGCGGUCAAGCGAACAUGGAUCCCGACCAAAUGUCAACCGGCAUUUUUCGGUGAGAAAACUGUGGUAAUAAGUUUGCUCUUACCGGUGACAUCAGCAGAGCUUCCAGCUGCGUGACUUCCCUCAGAGACACUGGGUCAACACUCCCGUGGCCACACCCCUCCGACUUUCAGGUACUAUUUAAUCUCACUAAAACACUAACACAAUAGAAAGAUAAGUGAUUUUCCAGAAUUAUCAUAGUAAAUGUGUCUAAUAACAUUUGAAUCACUCCCACUGCAA